rnacentral:rRNA from 1 species
AACGAACGCUGGCGGCAGGCCUGACACAUGCAAGUCGAGCGGACCCUCCGUGGUUAGCGGCGGUCGGGGGAGUAACGCGUGGGAAGAUGCCCUUCUCUACGGAAUAGUCCUGGGAAACUGGGGGUAAUACCGUAUACGCCCUGUGGGGGAAAGAUUUAUCGGGGAAGGAUGAGCCGGCGUUGGUUGAGGCUGUUGGUGGGGUAAUGGCCUAUGAAGGCGACGAUCGAUAGCUGGGUUGAGAGGAUGAUCCGCGACACUGAGACUGAGACGCGGCCCAGAAUCCUACGCGAGGCAGGAGUGGGGAAUCUUAGACAAUGGGGGCAACCCUGAUCUAGCCAUGCUGCGUGAGUGAUGAAGGCCUUAGAGUUGUGCAGCUCUUUAAGCUGCGAAGAUAAUGACGGUACCAGCAGAAGAAGCCCCGGCUAACUCCGUG